GCAAGUCGAGGGGUAACAGGUUUUAGUUUACUAAGAUGCUGACGACCGGCGCACGGGUGCGUAACGCGUAUGCAACCUGCCUUACACUGGGGGAUAGCCCGGAGAAAUCCGGAUUAAUACCCCAUAAUAUGAUUGAAUCGCAUGGUUUGAUUAUUAAAGAUUUAUUGGUGUGAGAUGGGCAUGCGUUAGAUUAGCUAGAUGGUAAGGUAAUGGCUUACCAUGGCGACGAUCUAUAGCGGGUCUGAGAGGAUGAUC
rnacentral:rRNA from 1 species